UCGCAAUAUCUUACUGGUCGUCGUCGC
rnacentral:piRNA from 1 species